UCGGUAAGGUGAUAUGAACCGUUAUAACCGGCGAUUUCCGAAUGGGGAAACCCAGUGUGAUUCGUCACACUAUCAUUAACUGAAUCCAUAGGUUAAUGAGGCGAACCGGGGGAACUGAAACAUCUAAGUACCCCGAGGAAAAGAAAUCAACCGAGAUUCCCCCAGUAGCGGCGAGCGAACGGGGAGCAGCCCAGAGCCUGAAUCAGUGUGUGUGUUAGUGGAAGCGUCUGGAAAGGCGCGCGAUACAGGGUGACAGCCCCGUACACAAAAAUGCACAUACUGUGAGCUCGAUGAGUAGGGCGGGACACGUGGUAUCCUGUCUGAAUAUGGGGGGACCAUCCUCCAAGGCUAAAUACUCCUGACUGACCGAUAGUGAACCAGUACCGUGAGGGAAAGGCGAAAAGAACCCCGGCGAGGGGAGUGAAAAAGAACCUGAAACCGUGUACGUACAAGCAGUGGGAGCCUCUUUUAUGGGGUGACUGCGUACCUUUUGUAUAAUGGGUCAGCGACUUAUAUUCUGUAGCAAGGUUAACCGAAUAGGGGAGCCGAAGGGAAACCGAGUCUUAACCGGGCGUUAAGUUGCAGGGUAUAGACCCGAAACCCGGUGAUCUAGCCAUGGGCAGGUUGAAGGUUGGGUAACACUAACUGGAGGACCGAACCGACUAAUGUUGAAAAAUUAGCGGAUGACUUGUGGCUGGGGGUGAAAGGCCAAUCAAACCGGGAGAUAGCUGGUUCUCCCCGAAAGCUAUUUAGGUAGCGCCUCGUGAAUUCAUCUCCGGGGGUAGAGCACUGUUUCGGCAAGGGGGUCAUCCCGACUUACCAACCCGAUGCAAACUGCGAAUACCGGAGAAUGUUAUCACGGGAGACACACGGCGGGUGCUAACGUCCGUCGUGAAGAGGGAAACAACCCAGACCGCCAGCUAAGGUCCCAAAGUCAUGGUUAAGUGGGAAACGAUGUGGGAAGGCCCAGACAGCCAGGAUGUUGGCUUAGAAGCAGCCAUCAUUUAAAGAAAGCGUAAUAGCUCACUGGUCGAGUCGGCCUGCGCGGAAGAUGUAACGGGGCUAAACCAUGCACCGAAGCUGCGGCAGCGACACUGUGUGUUGUUGGGUAGGGGAGCGUUCUGUAAGCCUGUGAAGGUGUGCUGUGAGGCAUGCUGGAGGUAUCAGAAGUGCGAAUGCUGACAUAAGUAACGAUAAAGCGGGUGAAAAGCCCGCUCGCCGGAAGACCAAGGGUUCCUGUCCAACGUUAAUCGGGGCAGGGUGAGUCGACCCCUAAGGCGAGGCCGAAAGGCGUAGUCGAUGGGAAACAGGUUAAUAUUCCUGUACUUGGUGUUACUGCGAAGGGGGGACGGAGAAGGCUAUGUUGGCCGGGCGACGGUUGUCCCGGUUUAAGCGUGUAGGCUGGUUUUCCAGGCAAAUCCGGAAAAUCAAGGCUGAGGCGUGAUGACGAGGCACUACGGUGCUGAAGCAACAAAUGCCCUGCUUCCAGGAAAAGCCUCUAAGCAUCAGGUAACAUCAAAUCGUACCCCAAACCGACACAGGUGGUCAGGUAGAGAAUACCAAGGCGCUUGAGAGAACUCGGGUGAAGGAACUAGGCAAAAUGGUGCCGUAACUUCGGGAGAAGGCACGCUGAUAUGUAGGUGAAGUCCCUCGCGGAUGGAGCUGAAAUCAGUCGAAGAUACCAGCUGGCUGCAACUGUUUAUUAAAAACACAGCACUGUGCAAACACGAAAGUGGACGUAUACGGUGUGACGCCUGCCCGGUGCCGGAAGGUUAAUUGAUGGGGUCAGCGCAAGCGAAGCUCUUGAUCGAAGCCCCGGUAAACGGCGGCCGUAACUAUAACGGUCCUAAGGUAGCGAAAUUCCUUGUCGGGUAAGUUCCGACCUGCACGAAUGGCGUAAUGAUGGCCAGGCUGUCUCCACCCGAGACUCAGUGAAAUUGAACUCGCUGUGAAGAUGCAGUGUACCCGCGGCAAGACGGAAAGACCCCGUGAACCUUUACUAUAGCUUGACACUGAACAUUGAGCCUUGAUGUGUAGGAUAGGUGGGAGGCUUUGAAGUGUGGACGCCAGUCUGCAUGGAGCCGACCUUGAAAUACCACCCUUUAAUGUUUGAUGUUCUAACGUGGACCCGUGAUCCGGGUUGCGGACAGUGUCUGGUGGGUAGUUUGACUGGGGCGGUCUCCUCCUAAAGAGUAACGGAGGAGCACGAAGGUUGGCUAAUCCUGGUCGGACAUCAGGAGGUUAGUGCAAUGGCAUAAGCCAGCUUGACUGCGAGCGUGACGGCGCGAGCAGGUGCGAAAGCAGGUCAUAGUGAUCCGGUGGUUCUGAAUGGAAGGGCCAUCGCUCAACGGAUAAAAGGUACUCCGGGGAUAACAGGCUGAUACCGCCCAAGAGUUCAUAUCGACGGCGGUGUUUGGCACCUCGAUGUCGGCUCAUCACAUCCUGGGGCUGAAGUAGGUCCCAAGGGUAUGGCUGUUCGCCAUUUAAAGUGGUACGCGAGCUGGGUUUAGAACGUCGUGAGACAGUUCGGUCCCUAUCUGCCGUGGGCGCUGGAGAACUGAGGGGGGCUGCUCCUAGUACGAGAGGACCGGAGUGGACGCAUCACUGGUGUUCGGGUUGUCAUGCCAAUGGCACUGCCCGGUAGCUAAAUGCGGAAGAGAUAAGUGCUGAAAGCAUCUAAGCACGAAACUUGCCCCGAGAUGAGUUCUCCCUGACCCUUUAAGGGUCCUGAAGGAACGUUGAAGACGACGACGUUGAUAGGCCGGGUGUGUAAGCGCAGCGAUGCGUUGAGCUAACCGGUACUAAUGAACCGUGAGGCUUAACCUUACAACGCCGAAGGUGUUU
rnacentral:rRNA from 1 species